GGAGGGUGCGAGCGUUAAUCGGAAUUACUGGGCGUAAAGGGUCCGUAGGCGGCUUGUUAAGUUGGAUGUGAAAGCCCCGGGCUUAACCUGGGAAUGUCAUCCAAAACUGAUGAGCUAGAGUACAGUAGAGGGCAGGGGAAUUUCCGGUGUAGCGGUGAAAUGCGUAGAUAUCGGAAGGAAUAUCGGUGGCGAAGGCGCCUGCCUGGACUGAUACUGACGCUGAGGGACGAAAGCGUGGGGAGCAAACAGAAUUAGAUACCCUGGUAGUCCACGCCGUAAACGAUGUCAACUAGCUGUUGUGUCGAUUAAGAGACAGUAGCGGAGCUAACGUAUUAAGUUGACCGCCUGGGGAGUACGGCCGCAAGGUUA
rnacentral:rRNA from 1 species